ensembl:lncRNA
ACUGGACUCAAAAUGAAGACAUUGGAUUGGAAGAAUAACUAAUAGAUAAUUACAUCCUUGGGAAGUAAGAAUAAAAAGGCACUUCCCAAGCAGUUUGUUUUGUUUCUCUUGCCAACUUAUAUUUGUAGAUGUGGUGUGGAGUUGUAGCAACUGGCAUGCACCCUGAGGUCACUGCACCCUGAGGUCACUGCACCCUGAGGUCACUGCACCCUGAGGUCACAGCACCCCAAGGUCACUGCACCCUGGGGUGGUCACCGCACCCUGAGGUCACAGCACCCCAAGGUCACUGCACCCUGAGGUCACAGCACCCUGAGGUCACUGCACCCUGAGGUCACUGCACCCUGAGGUCACUGCACCCUGAGGUCACUGCACCCUGGGGUCACAGCACCCUGAGGUCACAGCACCCUGGG